GAGGCGCCCGCGGCCCCGCCCGCGGCCCGCGGGGUCGCCCGGCAACGCGAGGGACGCGGCGGCACCGACCCGCGGCCAUGGCCUCCAAGGCGGGCAAGAAGAAGGAGGUCUCCAGCCGCCCCUGCACCUCCAAAACGGUAGCUGCUUCCAAUGAGAAAUGGAGAAUUCCUUUUUGGCCAGAAUGGAAUGAUGCAGAUAUCAAUGCAGAAAAAUGGGAUGCUGGAAAAGCUGGAAAAGAAAAACUUGGAAAAGGUCAAAUUUCACCUGGAUUUGAUGAUCCUGAAGGGAAAAUAAGGUUGCCAGCAUCCUUAAAAGUGCAUUCAUGGAAACGUCCACAAGAGUUUUUAACAAAAGAGGUUCCUGUGAUAGUCCGAAAUGAAACCUCAUUUGACCUUGUUUCAGCAAAUGAGCACAUAUUUUGUUGUGAGCUGAUGAGAUGGAUUGUAAGUGAAAUCUAUGCUGUCUGGAGAAUAUAUAAUGAAAAUUCCUUAAAUAGUGAAACACCCACACUUGUUUGGAAACCUUGGGAACACAUUUAUGCCUUAUGUAAAGGUACCAAGGAACAUGUACCACUGUACAAUAAAUUUGGGAAAUAUGUAUUGAAACUUUAUUGGAUGGGGUGUUGGAGAAAAAUCAUUGUGGAUGACACUAUGCCAUUCAGUGAAGAGGAAAAUUUGUUAUUACCAGCUACAACCUGCAAAAAUGAACUUUGGCCAAUGUUGCUGUCCAAAGCUAUAAUUAAGUUGGCAAAUACUAGUAUACAUGAAAGUGGAAAAAGAGAGAUGGAGGAAUUUACAGUUCUUCAAACACUGACUGGAUGGAUACCAGAAAUUAUUCCUCUUCAGCCUGAAUACUUGGACAAAGUUUGGGACUUUUUGAAAGAGAUUGUGCCAGAAUUCAAGUUGCCAGAGAAGGCAGCUCCAGAACUUGAGGUUACUCAGGAUGAUACAAAAACUGAAGAGACCAGAGACUCAGAGUUAAGAAGUGAACUUUCAUCUGUGAGUAAGCUGCCAGAUUCAGCUGAGAGGGCAGACACAGCCAAUAACAUUAGCAAAGAAAAAGCAGAGCAGAAAAAAGUAGCAAAGAAAAAAAAAGGAGAGAAAGAAAAAGGCAAGGUAGCAGUUCAGUCUCCAGGAAAGUUGGCAAAAGCACAAGGCCUUCAGGACUUAACUGAAAAAACGCCCAUACCAACCCAGCCAGAAAUGGUGGUGUAUGCUGGCUGCAUUCCUCUGUAUUUGUUUGAAGAGGACAUUUUUUCACUAACAAGAAUGGCUGAUUCUUCAGAGAAGAUGAGGCAAUAUGGGCUUUCCCAUACACACAGCCAUCCUGUCCUGAUCACUAGAACUAGGUCCUGUCCUCUGGUAGUACCUCCAGAACCACCACCACUUCCUACCUGGAAGCUUUUCCGUCUGAAAAAGCAAGUUGUUGUGACAUCUGAGCCCCAAGAGCCUGUGGUAGAGAAACCUGAAAAACAUGUUGAGAUUGCUAGCCUGUUUUUUAAAUACAAAUUGGAUAUUAUCAAAAUCCCAACAGAUAUCUACUUUCCACAGUCUAGCCUCAAAAAAGGAUUUCAUUCUACAUCCCGUCUCAUUUCUGUUACUGAAACUGAUGAAAAUGAAAGUGACAGUAAUGGGGAUAUGAAUCAAAAUGGGAGAUACUCAAAUGCAGAAGAUUAUUCUCAGGAGACCAUUCCCUUAUUGCAACUAAAUUCAGAGGUACUCAGUAAAGAAGAACAUGACAAUAUCAGUUUAAGUACAAAACAAACGUCAGAAAGAGCUGAUACGGAUAUGAAGAGCCAGACAGGGACUAAAUCAAAGGAUGAAACAGCAUCAGAAAAUAUUUCAGUUUCCAGGGAAACCUGGAUUACCUUUGAAGACUUCUGUGCUUGUUUCCAGAAGCUGUAUGUUUUCCACAAGCCACAUACAUAUGCUUAUAACUAUCAGAAGACAUCUUUUAAGUCUUCUGAUGAGGAAGUCUUCUAUUAUUUACUUGUGGACAGUCUGAUGCCCGUUGAAAUCCUGGUUAGCUUUUCUGCAUUAGUAUACUGGUAUGUUACUGAAGGUACUAAACAAGAACAUUCAACAGGUCUGCUGAGGGUUGAAUAUUUCUCUUGGAAAUCUGUGACUCCUGGAGAACUUGUGUUAAAGAUGCAUACAUCUGCAACCAAAGCUACUGUGGUAAAUCUUCCUGUUGGGCGACACAUCCUUCUCUUCACAGUAACUUGUCCCAUAGGGCACCACAUUCAGCUGUGUACCAUGGUGCCAUGUGUCUUUGGAGAAGAAGAUGCUGUGCUGCCAGCUCUUCAGAAGGAAAGCAUUCGAUUUAUAGAACAGGCUACAGCUAUCCUGAGAGCUGUUGGAAAUGUGAUAAAUAAUUACAGCAGUAAGGAUGAGCUUCCUAAAGCCCUGAAGGAAUUGGAAGUAGCUUAUUGUCCUCCUGGCCUCCAUGAUACUAAAAUAGCUGAAGAAAACAGCAAGGUUUUCAAUAAGGCAUUUUGGUAUAUGAUCAAAUGUGUAUUCGACAAGAAUGAAUUUUCCAGAUAUAAAUUUGCCUUCAGAUCCUUUACUUUGGAUUUUGAAGCCACUGAUAUUUCUGGGGAUGACAUUGUGUUUUCAGCUGGAAAGACCUUAAAUGCCUAUAUAGUUCACAGAAUGAGAGUGAAGGAAGACUCAAGCACCAACAGGAAUUCCAGCCUUGUUGAUGUUACUCAUUCUUCCAAUCCUUCAGAGAGCAGUGAGGAGAAAUUCCUUAGUAGUUGUGAGACUCAAACUCCCACAUCUGAAGAAGAAGAAGCAGCACUCAAAAUUCAAGCCAUCUGGCGAGGGACCUAUGUUAGGAAAAUACUGAAGAGCAGAGAACCAGGUACUAAAGAAAACACUGAUGCUGAAGAAACUUUGAAAAACCUGUGGACUAUGAUUGAGUUAAAUUUUGAACAGUGUGCUGUAACGUUGUUAAGAGAAAUAUUUAAAAGAAACUUUAAUUCAGUUGAAAAGUUUCCUUGUUAUGAAGAUGAAUGGUGUAAGAUGUAUUUCACUGACUAUACAGUAACAUAUGCUGAUCAACCACCAAAUGCCUGGUUUCUGGUUUUCAGAGAAAUAUUUAUUGUCCCAGAAGACUUGCUUAUAUUGACACAGGUGUUUACCACUAUCCCUUCCUGUAGACUUCAUGUUCUUGAUAAUGACACACAGGAAGAAAUGCCACAUGCCUUUUUCAAAGUGGCAUCUCAUGUUUAUCCCAAAAAUAAGAAAGGAUACACUUUUGUGGCUGAAGCACACACUGGUGACCAGCCUGUGCCAGGUGGCAAAUGGAAGCUGCGCUUCAUCAGCUCCCAGAGUGCCCUGCCAUUUCUCUCUCGUGAGGCUGUAGAUAAUACCUAUUCUACUCUACAAUUUAAGGAGUAUUACAUACCCAACAAAGAGUUCCUACUAUUUAGGUAUUUUGUAAAGGUCACAGCACCACAUACUGCUACAUUGCAGGUACAGACCUCUAAUUCAGAUGUGCUCAUUAAACUACAAGUCCUAGAUAAUGAGAAGGAAAUUACGAGUGUCAUUGGAAAGGGCAAUGCAGUCAUCCCAGUUUUUAAUUUCUGGAGUAAUCAAUCACUUCUGAGCUCCCAGUUAAAAAAACUACAGAUUAGUCAAAGAAAUAUAGUGAAGGGAUUGGAAACUGGACGAAUAAAGAAAGGAAGUCGUAAUUCGUCAAAGGACAGCAAAACUUCUUCCAAGACAGACCUUGUACAGGAAUGCUCAGUGAUAUUAACAGAUGAAUCCUCAGUCUCAGAAAACUUUGAAAAUAAUGUUGGAAGCCCACAACAAUCUCACCAGUAUUCAAUAGAGGCACUGGUGUUGCAUGAUAGUUGGCCACUUACUGAGAGUGAGUCUUUGCUUGUUGAGGAACUGAAAGAAAUGCAGAAAGAUGAAAUCAAAGUAAAAAAGACUGCAACUAUUCCUAAAUCAAUCAGAAGAUCAAAAGAUACAGCAUUUGAGAAGAUAGAAAAAGAGAUGUUCAGGAAAGAAAGUGCAUCACUUGAAUCUCAGCCAGGAGAUUCAAACACACCCUACUGGAUUUUACGCAUAGUUAGUGAGCAGAAAGAGGCAGAGUUUCUGGAGGUGAAAAAGGACACCCGGCGAGUAGAUGAGAUCAGAGCCAUGAAAGAAGCAUGGGAGUCUGCGGAGCCAGGGAGAGCUGUCAAGGCUUUUCAGGAACGUGUGCGUUUUAUUAAUAAGUAUGCUGUGAGAGACUCAGAGGAACCCAUAGGUGGGGCUGAGACUGACGACUUAACACCUAGUUCAGGAGAAGAAGGAAAACAAUCACCAGAAACAGCUAUUGACUCAAGACUGAAAACACAGCAAAAAAAAUGGGAACUUAUAGACCUUAGUCCAUACACAAGAAACACAUUGCCUGAACCUGUGCUGAGAAAUGAGUCUAUCAUUCAACAACAACAGAUGCGUAAAGAAGAAAAAUUCAACCAUUUUAGGCAACUUUGCGUGCUGGCUGCGAAACAAAGAGAAAAAGAAGAAAAUGAGAGAAUUUUAUUGAAGCAAAAUUUACUUGAAAUGUAUGAGAACCUGCAGGCAUCCUUGGAUGAAGCACGAGGCAGAGUUUACAGCAUUCGGGAAGCAUACAGAAAUCAGCUGCUGGAGGCUGAGCGCAGAAGAGAAGAAGAACUGGCAGCUCAGGAAGCAGCCCUGAAAGCAGAGAGAAGGAAAAAGAAAAAACGGAGAAACACCAUUAGAGUGAUGCUGGAAUCAAAAGCUUUAGCUAAGUUUUUCAGAGUGACUGAGGGAGAAUUGUCAUAGGAAAGGUGUCUGCAUAUCUGGCCUCAAAAUGUAAGCCCAAAAAGGAGACAUCUUGGAUGGAUGUGAGAUGAGACAUGAAGCAGCUGGUGUCACAUCCACAAGGACUGAAGUAAAGCCUACCAAAAGGAAUGCAGUGAUGAUGGGACCACAUCCCCUUCUCCGUGUCACAGAAUGAAGAUGACCAACAAUAACCAGCAGAGGAGCUUCUGCACACAGGGAACAGAUGGGCAAAACUGUGAUCCAGCAUCAAAGUACUAAUGUGUGAUGGAACUGGACCCCCACAUCUAAGCCUCUCCAGACGUUAGUGUUCUUAUGUAGUGUGUAUGACGUGACCACAGCUUUGGAAGGAAAUUCCAAGAUCCACUCCUGGGUACAGGUUGCACCAGACUAGAAAGAACUGUGGAUGUGCUGGAGAACAGAAUUAUAAAUCAAAAUUAAUUUGAAAAAAAUGUGGGGAAUUGAAGACGCCCUUCAAAAUGACCUAGAAUAUGGAAGAGUAAAGUGGAUGAAUGCAGAAACACAGGGAUGUAUGUGAAUUGCAUGAAUAGCAGCUUUCCAGGGAUGAAUUCUCAUAGCAAUUUCAGAAGGUAUGGACCCCCAGCCACUGAGAGCUCUUGGUGCUCUUCUUUGCUGCAGAGAAGAUGGAGGGAAUGGAUUUGCUCAGAGCACGUUGCUCAUGGUAUUGGAACGAGCAGCUGGAGUGAGGUCUUAUCUACAGGUGUUGCAUCCUUCCUCCUUGCUGAUAUCUGGAAAUCUGUGUGCAAGUGCAGGGGGCCUCCUAUUCCUUCAGUGUCUUGGUGGUUUGGUGGUGACUGCGAUGCUGCUCUUUGCAAGAUCAUGAUGGGAGUAAAGGGCACUGGUUUCUGAAUUGUAAGG